UACGGGGGGGGCAAGCGUUGUUCGGAAUUACUGGGCGUAAAGGGCGCGUAGGCGGCCUGCUAAGUCGGACGUGAAAUCCCUCGGCUCAACCGAGGAACUGCGUCCGAUACUGGUGGGCUUGAAUCCGGGAGAGGGAUGUGGAAUUCCAGGUGUAGCGGUGAAAUGCGUAGAUAUCAGGAGGAACACCGGUGGCGAAGGCGGCUCACUGGUCCGGUACUGACGCUCAUGCACGAAAGCGUGGGGAGCAAACAGG
rnacentral:rRNA from 1 species